GAUGAACGCCGGCGGCGCGCCUAACACAUGCAAGUCGAACGGAGCUUAGAGAGCUUGCUUUUUAAGCUUAGUGGCGAACGGGUGAGUAACGCGUGAGUAACCUGCCCUAGAGUGGGGGACAACAGUUGGAAACGACUGCUAAUACCGCAUAAGCCCACGGUACCGCAUGGUACUGAGGGAAAAGGAUUUAUUCGCUUUAGGAUGGACUCGCGUCCAAUUAGCUAGUUGGUGAGGUAACGGCCCACCAAGGCGACGAUUGGUAGCCGGACUGAGAGGUUGAACGGCCACAUUGGGACUGAGACACGGCCCAGACUCCUACGGGAGGCAGCAGUGGGGGAUAUUGCACAAUGGGGGAAACCCUGAUGCAGCGACGCCGCGUGGAGGAAGAAGGUUUUCGGAUUGUAAACUCCUGUCGUUAGGGACGAUAAUGACGGUACCUAACAAGAAAGCACCGGCUAACUACGUG
rnacentral:rRNA from 1 species